CAAUUCAUGUACUUGUGUGUGUGUGUGUGUGUGUAUUUAAGCUGAACAAGUGCAUGUGAAAGGUUUCACCUCACCUGAAUCCUUGUUUCCAAUUGCUGCCAACUCAGUCGGGUGGACAGAAAACCCAUUGAUUGUACUUUAAAGGCAAAAACAACAACAACAACAACAACUAAUUCAUUACCCAGACACUUGGCAUUGAAAUGUGAAUAUAAGGAUUGAGGUGAGGGGAAAGAAACAAAAGCUCUAAAUAAAAACGGGAAACUUUCCGAACGAGCUUGAAAAGCCUCUUUCAAAGACUUAACUUGUGACUGGACCAUUUUGCAGAACGUAAAAAAAACAGUAAUACCCUGAACCAUCAAAUUGCAUCCAGAAAAAACAUCACGUUUUAGACGAGGAGCCUGUUUAUGCCCCGUGUCUUGGCACUGCAAGGGAAAACAGGAAGGGGGAGGGGGGAACUAAAACUAAAUCUUGAGAUUCAUUGGAGUACAUUCUGUGUCCUCUAGGAGGACCUGCCACUAAUACAUAAUAGUUAUUUUGCUAUAAGUCCAGGCCCUGUUGCCAUGGUAAAAUGGCGAGGAGGAAGGGGUGGGGGAGAAAGAAGAGGAGAAAAA